AGUGAACGCUGGCGGUAGGCCUAACACAUGCAAGUCGAACGGCAGCACAGUAAGAGCUUGCUCUUACGGGUGGCGAGUGGCGGACGGGUGAGGAAUACAUCGGAAUCUACUUUUUCGUGGGGGAUAACGUAGGGACACUUACGCUAAUACCGCAUACGACCUACGGGUGAAAGCAGGGGAUCUUCGGACCUUGCGCGAUUGAAUGAGCCGAUGUCGGAUUAGCUAGUUGGCGGGGUAAAGGCCCACCAAGGCGACGAUCCGUAGCGGGUCUGAGAGGAUGAUCAGCCACACUGGAACUGAGACACGGUCCAGACUCCUACGGGAGGCAGCAGUGGGGAAUAUUGGACAAUGGGCGCAAGCCUGAUCCAGCCAUACCGCGUGGGUGAAGAAGGCCUUCGGGUUGUAAAGCCCUUUUGUUGGGAAAGAAAAGCAGCAGGUUAAUACCCCGCUGUUCUGACGGUACCCAAAGAAUAAGCACCGGCUAACUUCGUG
rnacentral:rRNA from 1 species